CAGCACGUCGGUUGCCGUCCCCGAGGGCAGCAACGUGAACUAUCACCUGUCGGAGCGACGACAAACCGCCUGUAAACCUCUACACUUGGUACAGAGUGGACGGCGGCGAGUUGACGAGGACGGGGGAGGGACAGACGCUGGUCCUGAAGGUCACUCAGAAGGACAGCGGGGCUCAUCUGUGCGAAGCUCGAACCCAGAAGCUCUCCCAGCGGUCCGGACCUGUGACCCUGGAGGUCAGCGCCGCCACAGGUGAACAUCUGACCCCCUUUUUGAUCCUCCGAGCGGCCGCCCACGUUUGAUCGGUGGCGUGUGACGUGGUGACGGUCCAGCGGGUGAAGCUGAGGGUGGUGUUUUUCAGGCAGCAGGUUGGCGGCGGCGGCUCCCUAAACCCUGUGUGGAGUGUUGCUGGUCGUCUACAUGGUGACUGUGGUGGUGGAUGUGUAUAAGUACCAGAG
ensembl:lncRNA